AUAUAUUUUAUUUUGGUAUUUAGAAUUUCUUGUUUAUUUUAUUUAGAUGUAAAUCUUUGUCAAUUAUUUUAAAAUGAGAAAACAGUAAAUAUUAUUAUAAAUGAAAGAAAUUUAGAUUUAGGAAUAUAAUUUAAAAUUAACUAAUCUUGUGCCAGCAGUUGCGGUUAUACAAUAAAUUUAAAGAUAUUUAUUAAGUAAGAUUAAUUACUAUUUAAUUGAAGUUAAAAUUUUAAUUAUAAGGUAAAAUUUUAAUUAUAAUUAAUGUUUCUAUGAUAAAUAAUUAAGAAAUUAAUUUAAAAACUAGGAUUAGAUACCCUAUUAUUUGAAUGUAAAAUUCUUCUGGAGUAGUAAAAGUUAGGUUCUUAAAACUCAAAAGAUUUGGCGGUAUUUUAUCUUAUUAGAGGAACCUGUUUAUUAAUUGAUAUUCCACAACUAUAAUUUACUUUUACUAUUAUAUUUGUAUACCGCCGUCAUGAAUAUAUUUAAAAAUUUAUUUUCAAUUUCUUAUAUGAAGUUUAUGUUAGGUCAAGGUGUAAUUUGUAAAAGAGUAAAAUGGGUUACAUUAAAAAAUAUGAAUGAAUUUUUUACUUAUAAUUAAAAAUGAAAGAGGAUUUAAAAGUAAAUUGAUUUAUAGUAAUUACAUGAAUUAAGAUUCUAGAAUAUGUACAUAUUGCCCGUCACUCUUAUACAAAGUAAGAUAAGUCGUAACAUAGUAGAUGUACCGGAAGGUGUAUCUGGAAAUAAA
rnacentral:ncRNA from 1 species